rnacentral:lncRNA from 1 species
CAGGGCAACAGCAGGCCCUUCGACCCACGGCUGCAGUCCAGACCCUCCCCUGCACAACCGGAGAAGCGGGUUGGGGGCGAGGGAGGGCCCCUCCCCGAAGAGCUUCCCGGCUCUGUGGCUGCUGCCGUCUGCCUUCGCUGCUCCCACGGGCGGGAUGGGGGUUCUGGCUGGGACUGUCCCCCGUGGGGGGGCAGUGCCAGCCCAGGAGGAGAGGCAGCUGCUCCGGAGGGUCCAGGAGGCUGCAGGCAGAAGGUGCGGUCGCAGGGGCCUGGGCAGGAGUAUUGGGGUCCCGGGGCCCCCACCCUGGGCCAGGCGGCGAGGGAGGGGCAGCCUUCCUUUCAGUUGUCCGUCCAGAUCCCGGACAAGCCCCCACGGGAUGAGUCCCGUGUUAAGGCUCAGGUUCGCUGCCUUGAAUUGCGGUAAAGCCACAGAGUUGCAUCUCAUCCUCCUUGGUGGUGUUUCUCUGACCCCUCUUGUGCCGGCCGGGCACACGCUAGCCUGGCCGUCGCCAUACCGAGAAGACUCGGCUGUUGCGGUGUGGUGGGCAGGGUGGGGCCGUGUUGGGUGGCCAGGAGCGGCACGUGCGCUGGCCACAGUACUGAGUAUGCCUCCCCAGCGACGUCUGGAUCCUCCUGCCACAAACGGACGAUCUCCAUUCAUAGUCCAAGUGGAAGAGCGGAUUCCUCCGGGAGUGGGGACCAGGUGGGGAACAGCAAGCUGAGAGCCUCCCAGCAGCGCCCUCCUCCCCACGGCCGGGAGCCCAUGCUUGGCUUAGGAGGGGUCUGCACGGGGCCAGUGGUGCGCAGCCCCUGGGCCCAAACAGUGGAGCUGGGUCAAGGGCAGACGGUCACAGGGGGCUGGGCCCAAGGCUCCCGCUGGGGGCAGAGAAGUAGGGCUUAUUGAAGCUAACCUGGUGGAUCAUGGCUGGGGGUCCCAGUCCCUGAUCUCGUCCAAACUCACCAGCUCUUCCUGUGCCGCCUUGAACGGGGAGCCCGGGGCUGGGCGGAGAGAGCGGGCUCUGUGGACGGGGCCAGCCUGGGCGCUGAGCCACCCUGCCUGACUUAUGCCGCGUCCCAUGAAGCGCGUGGUGGGCUUCCGCUGGGGAGUGUGCACGGAGCUGGGGUUUGGAAGACUCAGGGUGACGCCAUCUGUGUGAUGAAGAGUCCCCUGGCAUUGCUUUUCCGCACCCACCAGCUCGCAGACGCGCGGCCCUUCCUGGGUGAGGUCCCUGGGCCAACCUGCCUGCCCAGUGACCCCAGCUUCCUGUCCAAGCACCUUGGCAGGGAAUGCCCUCUUUGUCACCCCGGCCUCCAGGUGCUGGGCAUCUCAGGCUGCUCCCAGGCCGCCUCUGCCCUCACUCGGUGUGGAGGCCUCGCCCACGGGCCUUGGCAGCAGUCUCCACACUCGUUCUCUCCCACGUUCAUCCCCGUCGGGGCUCCAGGCACCACUGUCCACUCACCUCUCCUGUGAGCGUAACAAGCACAUGACCCCAAACUUACUGUCACGUUGUCCCCUGCAGUCUUCCCGGAGCAGUGGACACAGUUCUGUUCUGUCUUGGUUACUCGUGGCUGUACUUGCACCUCACAUCCAACCCAUCAGCAAACCCCUGACCCGUGUCCAGAGCCCGCCCGCUGCCCUCUCGUCAGGGCUGCGCCUCGUCCGACUCACCGUUGUCUCGGGCUGCCUGCCCGUAUCCUGUUGGCAACACAGGAAGCGAGCGCUUCUUCUAAAAGGCCGGUUAGACUGGGUCCGUCCUCUGCUGCAAACCCUCCGACAGCCUCUCUUUCACUCCCUAGCUACAAGCUUCGCCCUGGUUCCAGAGCAGAGUGUCUGUGCCCCCUGCUCCCACGUGUGACCCACCCCCCGCUCCCAGUCAGCUGCCCUCAGUGGCCUGUUAGCUAAGCGCUCUCCCGCGGGGGGAGCUUCUCUUUUCUGGACCCAGUUCUCUGCACGUCGGCUCGGAGGCCACCUGGCCAGGGAGGCUUUUCUGACGGCCCAGGUGGGGUGCCAGCACCUCCCCAGCUGCACUCCGCCCCGCUUGCCUCAUCCGUCACCUUGGAACUGAUGACGGUUGUUGGAGCACCCUGGCCCCGGGCAUCUGUGUCCUCUCCGGAGAGGGCAGCCCCGGGCAGGCAGAGCUUUGGCUUCCCGGCCCUGUGCUGUGCUGGGAACAAGGCGUGUCCCCCCAAGGCACCUGAUGGUACAGGUUGGACGGUUAAAUGAAUGAGGAAAACUAAGGCAGGGCUGAGGAGGAUUAAGACUGUUAAAAACCAUAUUUGACUUUUAAUUUCAAAACAAAUUAAAUACAGUUAAAUUAAAACAGACCCGGUAGUGCAGCUUGGGGGCUCCACCUUCCCCGUCUCUGUCAUCCGGCCCCCACCCCGCUCCUGUACAGGAGGGAGCAGGGAACACACUGCGUUUGGAAAACAAACUGUAGCCAUGGACCCAAUUCUGAUUCAUAGCAAACUCAUUCCCAAUGAAGGUGAAAGCUGCAGUCCAUCAGGGUUAUAAUUAUAAAUAAAUACACAUGCAGCUAAGAGAGGGUAUUAGGUGAAAACAAUAGAAGUAGCAUCUGCCGAAAGAACAGAGGAACCCAUGUUGUCGUUAUCAAGUUUCCUGAAAACGAGCCCUGGGUUUCGGGCCAAGGUGGCCCAAGCCCAGCCAAGCUGACCCUGCGUUUGGGGCUGGUUCCGGCGAGUGAGGCAGAGUAGAGCCCUGCAUGAGUUCACUUGCUCGACGGUGCCCGCCCUCGCCCACCCUCCCUUCCCCGCCACCCACUUGGUUCCCAGGCAACCAUGGGUGUGGGACGUCCUGCAGGUGGCUCAGGGCCCUCAGGGACGUGAGCCCUCCCUCGAAGGUUUCGUGACUAUGCUGAGGAGUUAAAUCCACUUCAAAAACAGGCAGCCGAUACUCCGUGAAUGUUAGGUCGCUGGGCUGCGGCCCACUGCCCACCCACCCAUGCACCCAGGAGUGGGCUCUCCAUGGCCCGCAGACCCAUCCCAUGAGUCUAAGUGGAGUAGGGGCUAUUAGCGGUUAAAAGUAAACACCUGUUCAGUGGGCUCAGGCCCUUCCUCUGCCUCCACAGGGGAGGAAAAUUGUGCUUCCAAACGCUCAGGAGUGUGAGUGGAGACUGGCAGAGGGCUGGCCCCGUCGGGAAGCCAGGAAAACAGGCACCUCUCCUCCUGGCUGAGGGCCGCGCACGGUUCCUUGUCUGGGGCGGCCGGGCGGCCGGACAUGAGGCCGGCUUGCUCUUCGCGCCCCCAGUUUAGGGAGAAGGGAGGUUUUACUUCCCACUUGGUGUGUAAAUCGCGUGAUUUCCAAAGCAGUGUGUGCUCAGGUAUCCUGCCCUCGGGGUCCAGAUCAUCUCUGCCCCCUUCCGUAAAUCCCUCUGCUAAUCCAGAGUCCCCCAGCCAGGGGCAGGGAGGAGCCCUGGGACCGCCCGGGCCCCUCCUCUCUCUUCCUGGCCCACCUGCUCCCUCGAGCCCCUGAGGCCUGUGGUUCUCAUGGCUCUGGGUUGGGGGCUCCUGCCUCCCCAGUCCCAGCCCAGGCGAGGGGCCCGGAGCCCAGUGGGCGUUGGGGAGGUGCCGUGUGGUCUAUACCCUGUGCUGGGUGGAGGGCCCACCUCCUUCCUUGCGCUGGGACAAGAGCCAGGGAGGGCCCUCUGCUCCCUCCACGAGGUUGAGGUAUGGGGAGAGCAGCCCUCUGGCAGCCCGACUCCCCGCACACAGGGCUGGCCGCCUGCCGGGAGCACAGACAGCCUUACGCUCCGCAAGCAGGAGCCAGAGGAAAGCCGGCUGGAGGGGCUGCAUCUCCUCGGAGCAGCUCGUUCCUGAUGCCGGGGGUGGGGGCUGCUUGCCGUCUUUCGCAGUCCCUGGCCAGGUGUCCUGUGUGGUCGUGGGGCCUCGAGGGGGAGCCGGGGAGCCCUCUGCUGGACUGCUGGGGUCUUUUGCCCCCUCCCAGCCUGGCAUCACUCCCGGGGCUUGGGGCCCAUGGUGUCUGCCCUGGCCGGCCCUGCCAGGGCAGAUGGAACAGAACAACAGGUCUGGGGUUUCUGUGCUUUAGGGUCUCCGUCCUUUGUCCUGGCAUCAGGCUGGUCUCUCUGAAGGCCCCAGAGUAGAAAGGAGGGUGACGGCGAUUCCACAGGAGUCCGCCUCGGAGGGACCACCCGUGUGGGGAGCACAGGUGGCCAGGAGCAGGUCUGAGAAGGGGGCUCCUGUGACGGGGAGAAGAAUGGGGGAGGCGUGAGGGAGCCGCUGGAUCCUGGGCCCCUGAAGCGUCACCCAGGGGCUCCGCAGAACCCACCCCCAGGUCCCCACUGAGAGGCCGGGAGCAGGAGAGGCAGGGAGUGAUGCUCUGUCC